CAGGACCCAAAACAACAACAGGAACAAAAACGACAACGGCUGAACUGACAUCAACAACUGCAGGACCAACAUCUACGACUGCGAAAACUGCAAGAACAACGGCAGGACCAACAACUAGAAAUGCUGAACUAACAUCGACAGCUGCAGGAUCAUCAACUUUUGCAGAAAAACCUGCAACCACUACUGCAGGGCCAACAACAACUGUAGGAUCAACAAAAGUUGCAAGACCUAUCACUUCUACUGUUGCACCCAAUACAAUAACUGAAGGAAAUGCAAAAACAGCCUCAGAAUCAACAACUUCUACAUCCGGAGCCACAACAACAACAACCGGACCAAUUACGACAACUGCUGGACUAACAAAAACCACUGCAGGGCCAUCAACAAAAGGACGGAAAACAACAACUGCCGAACUUGUGACAACCGCAGUAGCAACAACAACAUCUGCAGGAUCUACAUCUACAACAGAAGGAGCCACAUCCUCAACGAGAGAAAGACGAACAAUGACGACUGCAGGACCAAUAACAACGAAUGCAAGACCCAGAACUACUUCAGCAGGACUCAUUUCAACUGCAUUACAGAAAUCAACGACUGCAGGAAUAACAAAAACGACUACAGUACCAAGAACAUCAACUGCUGUAUCAACAACUACUAUAACAGGACCCAAAACAACAACAGGAACAAAAACGACAACGGCUGAACUGACAUCAACAACUGCAGGACCAACAUCUACGACUGCGAAAACUGCAAGAACAACGGCAGGACCAACAACUAGAAAUGCUGAACUAACAUCGACAGCUGCAGGAUCAUCAACUUUUGCAGAAAAACCUGCAACCACAACUGCAGGACCAACAACAACUGUAG
ensembl:lncRNA